UAUAAAAAAUAAGUCAAUGUUUAAAAAUUAAAUUUUCUCCCAAGUAUCUACUGUAUGAUUCUCUAAAAAAGUAAAACUUUCUCAGCACUAUGCACAAAACGAUGAAGGUAAAAUUUGCUUCAGUGUGAAUAAUGGAUUUCAGCUUCUCAAACCUAAUCUCCCUUUGAUUUCGGCCAAACCAAAACUCUAAUUCAUCAUUGGGGAUCCUCAAAGGUUUUUGUGAGAUCUACUACUUUAACAGUCAAAACUCUCUAGAAAUAAUAAUAACAAUACUAAUAAUAAAACUAUGGUUUUAAUUGCCAGAAAAAAAACAAAGAAAAUGUUGCUUCCAAAACUUUAAAAUCCCAAUGCAUGAGUGCUAGUGUCCUCCGUGCUGUUUCAAGUGGCAACAUUUUAGCAUAGCUGCUCUCUUUUGUAACAACAAUUAAAAAAAAAAACACAUGCAGGCACAGCAGCAGAUCAAUGCAGAUCACCAAAUGUACUGCAGAACAAAGCAGGAUGGCGUACUUGGACUGGGUGCUUGGUUCCAAGGGUACCUGGUUCAGUCCACUUCUCUGCUGCAUUAAUUGUGGCAGCAGUAAGGGCAGGUAAACAAAGCUGUUAGAGAGUAUAGUUGUGACUCAAACACGGCUCGCUCUAGCUUUGUCACCCAACUACUCGUAUGUCCAAAUGCAUCUGCCAAUCUUUCUCUCGUCUUUUUUUUUCUCCCUUGAAUGCAAUCGGUUGUUGUGAUACAAUAAAAACCCACUUUGAUGUCUGGAAGCAAUGUUAUAGAACAGAAUUGAAGCUAAAAAAGAAAAAGUAAAACUCAUAAGGUUGCUUGUUUCGGUUUAUGAACAUUUAGUGUUGUUCACGUUGCAAAAACAAUGUUUGUUUCCAGAAACUGUGAAUGGAAUAAACAUAAAUAAAAAAGAUAUACCUCAUCAGCUGUUGUCAGUUUUUACUCAUAAUGUACACCAUAUUGCUUAUAGCGCAUAAAGAGGAUAUCGUACCAAGUUUAUGCCUUUUUUUGUCUUUAACAACAAUAACUAUAUUGGGCAAAACCUGUACAAGUUUACUGCAUCCCCUCUUUGACAUCCAUAAACAUCCUGUGAGAGUUAUACAUAAAAUAGAAUUAUUUUGUGAUCACACAAUCCCUUAUUCUUUCAAUUCAGAUGUUACAUUUCUUUGAUGUAGUAGAUCUUUAUACUACACAACUUCUAUAUACAUUGAAUAAAAAUAUACUACCUAACAAUAUUUAUAAGUUCUUUACACAAAGACUGAUAUUAUAAUAGGCUCAAGCAAUGUUAAAAAUUUCAUCCCUUUAAAUGAAGGUAUAAGAAAUGUUCUGGUCACAUCACUUAUAGGAUGUCUGACUGGGAUGGCAAUGUAUAUUUGUUUAUUGCAACUCUAACUAUAUAUUACAUAUAGUGAUUACUUUUUGUACCUUGUUAAUGUAAAAUGCUAUUUUGAUAUGACACUGAAGAAAUAGUUACUGAACUGUACCAGCAUACAUAUAAUUUAUAUUGGAAUGGAAAUGAGGAGUGGAGGUAAAUGUUUUUCUUCACCCCACUCCUUUCUAAGUUUAAUAUAAGUUAUAUUAUUCUUACAUUUCUUUUGUUGUUUUGUUUUUUGUAGUACUGCAUAGUUAUUUAUAUAUAUUUUUCUUACCAAAUGAAAAGGUGUUACAUAAUAUUGUACUGUAUUUGAUUUCUUAGUUAAGCAGAAAAAAGUAAACAAGUACAAAAGUCAUUAUAGCAUAUAUAAAUUCCACUUAAAGUCCAAGUUUGAUGAUUACUCUUUUGAACCUCUAAUAGACUUUAGUUGAUUUAGUGAUUCAGUUUCAGCUUACCUGUAUUUUUGCUCACUUAUAUGUUUAAUCCUUUUACACAUAGCUGUCCCUGCACUGAGCAGAUAUUCAAAGCUGUUUUCUUGUGUUCAUAGGUGUUGAUGAUAAACUUGCAUAUGAUCCAUUUCAUUGGACUCUAUAACCUGCACACUGCCAGGCUAUUAGUGCAAGAUUACAAAAAAUGUGUUUUGUUUUUCAUCAAUCAGCCAUGAAUACAGAAACCCUCAGUAAUAUCUUCUCAGACCUUCUACUAUUGGACAUGUGUCAAUUAAUGUGAACAUCAGGCUUCUUUGACUAAAUAACGCCUUCAUUUACUGGCUGUAUUUCUCCUUGAAAUAUUCCAGCAGCACUGUAAAAAGAUGGACUUUUUUAGACUGUAAAUUGCACCUCUUAUAAAAAAACAAGUUAUUUUUACAGAUUCAUUUUAUGUGAAUUGCGCUUAUUUUUAUGUUAUAAGACUCAAGUCGAUGCAUUCAUAUUCCAUAAAUGAGAGUCAGUGAGGCCCGUUUGUCAGAUCAAAAGUACCUCUUAAAAAUAGCAAUCUUUGAGCAGGUAUUAAACAUACUUUCUAAGCACCAAUCUCUGUAUUAAAACUCUUUUCAUUGUUCUGGUGUAGUUUUCUAAUCUAAAAUUGCAUGUUUUCAUUGGUAUUAAGUGGAGAAAUCAUUAUUAUUAAAACAAGAAAAGGCUUGAAAACAUCAGUCUUUUGCAUUUAAUCCAUAUAAUGAAUUUCACUUAGGGAAUUGAGUUGAUAAAAUAACUGAAGGUUUCAACAGUAUUUUAAUUUAUUGAAUAUGACGGGAGAUAGAAUGAUGGCAGUUCAUCUAUGCCAGGAGUGCAUAGAUGAGGGUAGUGGAGAUAAGUCUCUCAGAAAAGGAACAUAUUUGUUAUUAAUUUGUGUCACAGAUAUUUUACUGUCAAGCCACAUUUUGUUCACUUGAGUGAACAAAACUCCUAGAAAAGUCCUUGUUUUCUUUCUCUUUUCUUUUCUUGUUUUUUCUUAUGGAGAAAUGUAUUUAAGGGUUUUUGCCAUAUGUAAAGUGUACCAUCACAUUGUUGCAGCUGUGAAUAUUCUAUCAUACAACACAGUAUUUAGAUCCAAAAUGCAUGCAAAUAACUGCAUUUGCUGCCGAUCCCACACCCCCCCAUGCUAACACUCUGGAGAUGUAUCUUCUACUCCAAAGUGUCAGAGCUCUCUGAGUGCUGCACAUGGAGACAGAAACUUUCUAAAUCGUGAAGCUGCACAUCAAUGAGAUGUUUUUACCUGCCUGUUUGUCCCCCACUUUGGGAUCCUUUUAUUCAGAAGGCCGCCUGAUAGCCCAUCAUUAUUUAGAUGAAGUCACAUAAACACAUCGCAAAGCUACUUCAGAUCUGGACAGAUCCGAGACCACACCAUGUGGGAGCAUUUUAAAUACAUAACUAAAUCAGUCUUUUUUUUAAGCUGUAUGAAAAAUACUAAAUUGGCUUUUCUCUUUUUUCUAGAAAGUUAAUUCUGUUUGUUUCAGCUGCUGAACAUAAAAGUCUUCAUCAUAAAAGGAAUUCGGAGAAGAGGCUCCUUUUAUGCAGUAGAAUGUCAGCCUUCCUUGCCCGACCGCUUCCAAGCACGCUUGAUGUCAUAUUGUCCACCUGAUCAUUUCGCUACCUGCUGUCCUCCUCAAGGCUGCCCUCUCGCUGCUCCACCACUCGAGAUGCUUGGCUGACUCCUCUGAAACCAUCAUGUUGUUGUGUGCUAGAACCCAGCAGACUGUUCUUCUUCUCUCCUUUCAACUGUGAGCGCAGGCAAGGAUUCCUCUGCUCAUAUGAUGUUUUCAUAUGAGUGUGCCAGUGUUAAGUCUUGUUUUUGUCGGUGUUGCUUGCAUUUUAAAAAGGGCAAUGCAGCUGCAAAUGGAAAUGAAUUUAACAUGUGCAGCUUUUCAAAAAUAAGCUACUGUCUUGCGCAGCUGCAACCAUUACUACCUAUCAUGUUUAUGAGUGCCUCUGUAGAUCAGCGCAAGCCCCCCUUGACCCUUCAAGGAUAAAUGGUUAGACAAUGGAUAGAUGGAUGCAUGUUUGUGAAUAAAUUGAAAACUUUUUGUUUUUUACAUGUAAUUCUGUGGUAUUACAAAUAUCAAAUUUAAAUGUUUUGCUUAAUGUUUUUAGAUUGUACAACUUCUGCUGUCAUUUAGUUAAUGCUAUUAUGUAGAUUCUGUCUCAUUUUUAGCAUUUCUGUUUUGCCUUCUGGUGGGAAAAUAAUAUGUAACUGGUUGACUGACUUUUUUUUCCACAAACAGUGUCUUGCAAAAAUGUUCAUAAUCCUCAAACAUUUAGUCACAUUUCAGCUCUAGAGUAUUUUAAUAGGAUUUUGUGUUCUGCACCACUACAAAGUAGUGCAUAAUUCUGAAGUGAAAUGAAGAUUAUUCCUGGUUUUAAGACUUUUGCAAAUAAAAAAAAAUUGAAACUUGA